AGCCUAUUAGCUCAAUUGGUCGAGCACUGUGUACUUUCAUGGCACAGAAGAUGUAGGUUCAAGUCCUACAUAGGCUA
rfam:Spinacia oleracea cultivar SynViroflay scaffold46479.con0002.1, whole genome shotgun sequence.